rnacentral:rRNA from 1 species
CCCUUAGAUGUUCUGGGCCGCACACGCGCUACACUGAAGGAGGCAGCGUGUACUCCUGGAUCGAAAGAUUUGGGUAACCCGCGAAUCUCCUUCGUGCUAGGGAUUGAGGUUUGCAAUUAUCCUUCAUGAACGAGGAAUUCCCAGUAAGUGCAAGUCAUAAGCUUGCGCUGACUACGUCCCUGCCCUUUGUACACACCGCCCGUCGCUACUACCGAUUGAGUGAUCCGGUGAAUAAUUCGGACUGCGGCAUUGACCGGUUCCCGAUCGUUGCUGCGGAAAGUUUAGUGAACCUUAUCACUUAGAGGAAGGAGAAGUCGUANCA